ACAUGGAGACGACCUGAUCGUCACACCUUUUGCACAGGUCCUGGCAAGUUUACGAAGUGUGAGAAACAACUUUACAUUGCUUACCAAUUUGCACGGCACAUCGAACAAGCCUUGGUUGCCCUUGAUAACUGCUGCGCUCUGGUCCCGGACCUGCGGUGGAAAUGCGUGUGCGGAGACCCCAGGCUCCUGG